rnacentral:rRNA from 1 species
AGUGAACGCUGGCGGUAGGCCUAACACAUGCAAGUCGAACGGCAGCACAGUAAGAGCUUGCUCUUACGGGUGGCGAGUGGCGGACGGGUGAGGAAUACAUCGGAAUCUACUUUUUCGUGGGGGAUAACGUAGGGAAACUUACGCUAAUACCGCAUGCGACCUACGGGUUAAAGCAGGGGAUCUUCGGACCUUGCGCGAUUGAAUGAGCCGAUGUCGGAUUAGCUAGUUGGCGGGGUAAAGGCCCACCAAGGCGACGAUCCGUAGCUGGUCUGAGAGGAUGAUCAGCCACACUGGAACUGAGACACGGUCCAGACUCCUACGGGAGGCAGCAGUGGGGAAUAUUGGACAAUGGGCGCAAGCCUGAUCCAGCCAUACCGCGUGGGUGAAGAAGGCCUUCGGGUUGUAAAGCCCUUUUGUUGGGAAAGAAAAGCAGCAGGUUAAUACCCCGCUGUUCUGACGGUACCCAAAGAAUAAGCACCGGCUAACUUCGUG